ensembl:snoRNA
AUCCUUUUGUAGUUCAUAAGCGUGAUGAUUGGGUUUUCAUGCGCAUGCGUGAAAUGUGCCUCCCACAAGUCUUGUGACGUUGGCACCUUACCCAUCUGACG